UACGUAGGGUGCGAGCGUUAAUCGGAAUUACUGGGCGUAAAGCGUGCGCAGGCGGUUUUGUAAGCCAGAUGUGAAAUCCCCGGGCUUAACCUGGGAAUGGCAUUUGGGACUGCAAGGCUAGAGUGUGGCAGAGGAGACUGGAAUUCCUGGUGUAGCAGUGAAAUGCGUAGAUAUCAGGAGGAAUACCGAUGGCGAAGGCAGGUCUCUGGGCUAACGCUGACGCUCAUGCACGAAAGCGUGGGGAGCAAACAGG
rnacentral:rRNA from 1 species